rnacentral:lncRNA from 1 species
UUUUUAUUAUUCAGAUCACAUACAUACUACAUAUAUAAUGGUAUAAAUUAAAAGUGCAUAUUGUAAACAAUAUUUUAAGAUGAAUAUCAUUGUAAACAAUUUACAUAAAUUGACUAGUAUUUAUUUAUAUGGCCAAGUAUAUAACAAAGUAUAGAUUCUCAGUUAUCUUCAGGAAAUAUAAAAGAGAAAAUUCUUUCUUUAUUUAAUUGCAAAUUUAUAACUUUUCCAACAUUGAUUGUUGUGACCCUUGUCAAAAUGGUUAAUAUCUUUUCCUGCCUUUACAUAAAUUGUGUUACAUGAUUUUUUAGGUGCCAUUUUUUUUUUAACAAUUUGAUAUGUUAGAUUUAUACAUAAAUGAUUAAUAAUUCUGUUUGACCUGAAGUAAAGGUUCCUAAAAACAUCCUGUUUUGCUCAUAAGUAGGUUUUACACAGAAAGAAAAGAGGGACGAAAGAUACCAAAGGACAGUCAAACUAUGAAGAUGACAAUAACAUAUAUUUAUCUUCAGUGUUAUAAUAUAUUGUUAUUAUCAUGGUGGAAGUUGGUUAUAUCCUUGUCUUUUAGUGGAUAGUAAUUUCAUUUAGAAUCAUAACACAUCUUCACUUAUUUCAAAAUGGCAAAAAGGCACUGUAGUUUUGCUUUUUAUAAACAUGUCAAUCUAAUGCAAAAAUAGUAUGAGAUUCUUAUGAAAUCUGAAGGUCUUUUUCAGGAUAAGGGAUUUGUUAAUUAAAAAACAAAAGUCAGAGAAAUCUUGCACUAGUGCAGAAGAGAUUCUUAAUAUGCUUCAAUGGAACCAUCAUCGUUUCAUUAAAAAAUAAUGAAGCCAAAUUUAUACAAUCAUAGACUACGUCCUUAACUUACAAAUCAAAACCCAAGGAAACGUUAAUAUAUUUUCAUAGUUUGUUUCCCUAAUUUCUUGUUUCUUUUGAAAUUGCCUAAACGAAAGGUCAAUGAAACUAUGAAACAUAUGACUAGUUAUAUUUCAUUUUAUAUUACUAAAUAUCACAUGACAUUAGAGACAGUUAAAAUUCAUGUUCCAAUAGACAGAGUCACGUCUUAAAAAUCCAUUUUGAUUACUUCACUUUAAUGCUGUUGUCCAUGGUUUAUUUCACUUUCUUUUUAAUAUCAGUUUAUAAAAACAAAAAUCAUAAAAAAAAUUAAAAUACUGUAACAUAUAGGAAUGGCUAGACUGCAACUGCAAAUUUGAUUGAGUGUGUCAUAAUCACAUAUUUAGUACUCCAGUACCUAGAUCAAACUAAAAUCUUUAUAUAAAACAAUUCAUAAACAUUUUAAAAAUUUGACAAGACACUUUUUGACAUAUAACAGAUCAUAUUACAAAAAAAUACAUCAUAAAAUGCAACUAGUAUCCAGUAUAAAAACACAUAAAAAUAUAUAUUGAAAAAACAAUUAAACAUUUGAACAAUAACAUUGUAAAUAAUAACAAUUUUCUUAUAAAACACCAACAAAAUGUUUGAAAAAUAAGAUUGGUCCCCUUUUAAAACAAAUAUCUUUAAUAAUAACUGAAAAUUGCAUACGAAAAAAGAAUAAAGGACGUUUUGACUUUGAUAGUGAUUCCAUCACAGUGAUAUACCAAGCAGGCAAAAUUUUUCUGGCUGACAAAAAAUAAAUCCUUUCAGCCAUUAUAUUUUUUUGUUGGUUUCUUCUGUGUGCUUGUAAUUACUAGUAUAAGAGAAACAGUUUCAAUCACUGCAUCUCAUUGGACAAAAUAUUUCUACACUUUCAACAGUUAAAAAUAUUAAAUAUUGAGUAUGCUUAGCAAGUGUUCAUUUUAAAUUUGAUUUUGCUGGGUUUACUGGAGACAUGUUUCAUCAAACUCAAAGCAUGGUAGAAUCUGCAUGUCAACUUUCGUUGUUAGCCAGGUAAAAAUUAUGGAGAUUAUUAUUUAUACCCAUAAAUUUAUACAUUUUGUCAACUUUUUGCAAAUUUCAGCACUUAUUUAUGGUUAAAAAAAAUCUUAUUUCAACUGGUUUUGUCAUGUCAAUUGUAAAAUCAGGCAUAUUAACAAUAAAAAAUGCAGAGCUUUGUGUUUAUAAUUAAUUCCAAAUACUUUGUGAAAAGUCAUGCUACAAUAAAACAA